GACGAACGCUGGCGGCGUGCUUAACACAUGCAAGUCGAACGGGAAGGCCCUGCUUUUGUGGGGUGCUCGAGUGGCGAACGGGUGAGUAACACGUGAGUAACCUGCCCUUGACUUUGGGAUAACUUCAGGAAACUGGGGCUAAUACCGGAUAGGAGCUCCUGCUGCAUGGUGGGGGUUGGAAAGUUUCGGCGGUUGGGGAUGGACUCGCGGCUUAUCAGCUUGUUGGUGGGGUAGUGGCUUACCAAGGCUUUGACGGGUAGCCGGCCUGAGAGGGUGACCGGCCACAUUGGGACUGAGAUACGGCCCAGACUCCUACGGGAGGCAGCAGUGGGGAAUAUUGCACAAUGGGCGGAAGCCUGAUGCAGCAACGCCGCGUGCGGGAUGACGGCCUUCGGGUUGUAAACCGCUUUCGCCUGUGACGAAGCGUGAGUGACGGUAAUGGGUAAAGAAGCACCGGCUAACUACGUGCCAGCAGCCGCGGUGAUACGUAGGGUGCGAGCGUUGUCCGGAUUUAUUGGGCGUAAAGGGCUCGUAGGUGGUUGAUCGCGUCGGAAGUGUAAUCUUGGGGCUUAACCCUGAGCGUGCUUUCGAUACGGGUUGACUUGAGGAAGGUAGGGGAGAAUGGAAUUCCUGGUGGAGCGGUGGAAUGCGCAGAUAUCAGGAGGAACACCAGUGGCGAAGGCGGUUCUCUGGGCCUUUCCUGACGCUGAGGAGCGAAAGCGUGGGGAGCGAACAGGCUUAGAUACCCUGGUAGUCCACGCUGUAAACGGUGGGUACUAGGUGUGGGGUCCAUUCCACGGGUUCCGUGCCGUAGCUAACGCUUUAAGUACCCCGCCUGGGGAGUACGGCCCGCAAGGCUAAAACUCAAAGGAAUUGACGGGGCCCCGCACAAGCGGCGGAGCAUGCGGAUUAAUUCGAUGCAACGCGUAGAACCUUACCUGGGUUUGACAUGGAUCGGGAGUGCUCAGAGAUGGGUGUGCCUCUUUUGGGGUCGGUUCACAGGUGGUGCAUGCCUGUCGUCAGCUCGUGUCGUGAGAUGUUGGGUUAAGUCCCGCAACGAGCGCAACCCUUGUUCACUGUUGCCAGCACGUUAUGGUGGGGACUCAGUGGAGACCGCCGGGGUCAACUCGGAGGAAGGUGGGGAUGACGUCAAGUCCUCAUGCCCCUUAUGUCCAGGGCUUCACGCAUGCUACAAUGGCUGGUACAGAGAGUGGCGAGCCUGUGAGGGUGAGCGAAUCUCGGAAAGCCGGUCUCAGUUCGGAUUGGGGUCUGCAACUCGACCUCAUGAAGUCGGAGUCGCUAGUAAUCGCAGAUCAGCAACGCUGCGGUGAAUAAAUUCCCGGG
rnacentral:rRNA from 1 species